GACACAUCAUAACCCAAGGAAAAUAUCAAAACACGGAACGGUAACAUUCAACUCCUAAUUUAUCCUAAACAACCCUAGUUCCUCCAGCUGCCGCCAUCAGAAGCACCGCUCCUUGAGUAUCGGGAACCACCAUCACCGCCAUAUCCACCGUCACGGCUGUAACCGCCUUCACGGCGGCCACCAUAUCCACCACCGCCACCUCCGUAUCCGCGGCUCCCACCGUAUCCACCACCACCACCACCACUUUCACGGCGUCCACCACCUCCAUAUCCGCCACCGCCGCGGCUUCCGUAACCACCACCGCCACCGCCACCGCUUCCCCGGGACUGGGCCUCGUUGACUGUGAUGUUACGGCCGUCGAGAUUCUGGCCGUUCAUGCCUUCGAUCGCGUCCCUCAUCGACUUCUCAUCGCGGAAGGUAACGAAUCCAAAUCCUCUGGAUCUUCCAGUCUCGCGAUCGUUAAUA
rnacentral:lncRNA from 1 species